rnacentral:lncRNA from 1 species
GACCAGAUUUCCCCGACGACAGCACCAUGCGAGGAACCAGGUAUGCCAUCUUAUUUCUUUCGUUUUCUUUUUUUUUUUUUAAAAACAUCUAGAUCUAAUGCUGUUCUAAAAAAUGAAACCGAAUAUAAAAAAAAAACUUAAUAUCAUCCGACCCUCAUUUGUAUCUCAAUAUUUCUGAGAUAUUCGGGGUUUCAUUGGUGUCGUUCCAAACAUUUCUUUCUUUUAUACUAAAGUCAUAAGGGAAUGAGAAAAAAUAAAAAAAAAACGGAUAAACAAACUUGAAGAUCACCUUUCUCUUUGGUUGCUUUGUAUUGCUUGUGUAUAUUUUCGUUCGUAAAAAAAUGUUCCCCCGAUUACAAGAUUAAAAUCUGGCUUUAUAGCCGAAAAGAAAGAGGAAAAUAAAUCAAAAUAAAAUAUGUGUUUUUUUUUUGUAUUUGCUGCUGUGUUUGUCUAUUUCUUUUGCAGGUACGGGUGUGUGGCGUGUGUACGAGGCUGUACUAGCGUACGAGGGCUGUUGACGUGGAGGCACGAGUGGCGUUGGGACUGUACAGUGGCUGAUGGCUGCGGCGCGAAGAGAGAGAGCCCUAGGGUUCUAAAGUUGUAAUUUUUUUGGGCCUAUCGGGCCUGUAUUUGGGUCUUGGGUCUUUAAUCAUGUAACUUGCACUGUUAUAAAACUUGGGUUUUAUAUUUAUUUAUUUUAUAUUUAUAUAUAUGUUUGGGGUUUUUAGCGGGCCCGGGCCAACAUUGGUCACUACAGCUGCCCCUCUUUACUCAUUGUCGUGCAACGAGAAUAGAGCAAAGACUAUUAAAAGACCAAUUUUGCCCAGGUUGGCCGAGUCUUGGCUCUUCUUAGUGCUUCUUUUCUUCAAGUAGCUUCGAUAUGCUCCACUGCAACUUCAGGGAGACAAGAUCUACAAUCUUUAGCCUACUCCACUACAACUUUAGGGAGCUAUGAUGGUGGCUUAAAUCUGUUUCACUGCAACUUCGGGAAGCCAAGAUUCACCGUCUUCGAUCUGCUUCACUGCAACUUCAGUGAAAUAAGACCUAAAAUUUCAGCCUACUCCACUACAACUUUAGGGAGCUGGGAUGGUGGCUUAAAUCUGCUUCACUGCAACUUCAGGAAGCCAAGAUUCACCGUCUUCGAUCUGCUUCACUGUAACUUCAGGGAAAUAAGAUCUAAAAUUUCAACCUACUCCACUACAACUUCAGGGAGCUAGGAUGGUGGCUUAAAUCUACUUCACUGCAACUUCAGGAAGCCAAGAUUCGCCGUCUUCGAUCUGCUUCACUGCAACUUCAGGGAAAUAAGAUCUAAAAUUUCAGCCUACUCCACUACAACUUUAGGGAGCUAGGAUGGUGGCUUAAAUCUGCUUCACUGCAACUUCAGAAAGCCAAGAUUCGCCGUCUUCGAUCUGCUUCACUGCAACUUCAAGGAAACAAGAUCUAAAAUUUCAGCCUACUCCACUACAACUUUAGGGAGCUAGGAUGGUGGCUUAAAUCUACUUCACUGCAACUUCAGGAAGCCAAGAUUCGCCGUUUUCGAUAUGCUUCACUGCAACUUCAGGGAAACACGAUCGGUAGGAUUCACCAAUGUCGCUACACCGUCUUCUAAAGACAUGAUUUGUAGAAUUGGUUUCCUGUAUCUAUGUAUGCCAAGUAAUUAGGGUGUCAUGAUCAUAAUGAAUCAAAUGCCCCUAACUAAAGUGGUGUUUAUGUCAAAUAAUUAGAAUGCUAUGAUCGAAAUGAAUGAUUAUGAAUGUAGAAAUGUCAUGAGAGUGAUUCUUUUUUAAACGCUUAAGGUGUCAUCGCUCAUAGUUCGUCUGGGUUCUAUCAUUGAUGUGUUGUCGCGUCUUCUUGCUUAGCCGUUAUCUCUGACAGAAAAUUUGAAGAAAUAGCCAUAAUUUGGACUACUCUUUUUCUAAUGUUUUUCACUUUUGAGUCUGGUUAGUUCUGAAUAGUGGCCCUGUUUCAGGUCCUUGUACUAUUUAGAGACUUUCCAGAGUAAUAUGCAUAACUUCUUUUAUGAAUAUUAUAAGUCAAAAAAUCGUGAUUUCAACAAAAAUGGUCGAAAGAGAUUAUCAUAAUGGAUAAGAUGGGAUUUUAUUGAGCAAAACUCGAAGCGAAUACAUUAAACGGGAUAGUAAAUCUACUAAAGCACAAAAUAAAAUGAGAAAAAUGUGCCCCAGAUAUCGCAGUACGAGCUUCACUGUCCCAAUUUCUCAAAGACUCUUUCGAAUUAAAUGUGUGUUAAAGAGGUCCCUCGUAUUUUGUUGAUGCUCCAAGAUGUACUGUUCUUCCCUCUUGUUAAUUUUGAGAGGACAAGAUUACCAUGUGCCCCAUAUUCAAAAUUUGAGCUGCCCGUUUUUGGGUUUUCAACUCAAAAACCCUUUUGGUCUCAAAGUGCCCUUUGCGGGUUUUCACAUUGGCCUCUCCAUUUUUUUUUGAGUCUCAGAGCGCCCUUUGCGGGUUUUCACUCUGGCCCCUUCUUCUUUAGGUAAAAUACUUCUUGACUGAAUCUGAAUUUACAGGAUUGGGCAAGUUUCUACCAUCCAUCUUGGCUAGAAUCAAUGCUCCUCUGGAGAAAGCUUUCUUCACCACGUAAGGCCCCUCCCAACAUCCAUUUUCCUCGAAAAUCCUUCUGUAUGGGAAGAAUCUUUUUCAAAACCAGGUCCCCCUCGUGGAAUUCUCUAGGGCGAACUUUUUUGUCAUAAGCCCGCAUCAUUCAUUUUUGGUACAUCUGACCAUGACGGAUAGUUCUUAGUCUCUUUUCUUCAACCAAGUUCAAUUGAUCAUAUUGAGACUGGAUCCACUCUGCUUUAUCUAACUUUAACUCUAACAACAUUCGAAGGGAUGGGAUCUCGACUUCAAUCGGCAACACCGCCUCCAUUCCGUAGACCAAAGAGAAAGGCGUUGCCCCAGUUGAGGUUCUGACUGAUGUUCGAUAAGCAAAGAAGGCAAACGGUAACUUCUCAUGCCAAUCUUUGUAGGUUUCGGUCAUCUUCCCUACAAUCUUCUUGAUGUUUUUAUUGGCUGCUUCCACUGCCCCAUUCAUCUUCGGGCGAUAUGGUGACGAGUUGUGGUGUCUGAUCUUGAAUUGACUGCAUACUUCUGCUAUCGUACUAUUGUUUAUGUUUAAUGCAUUGUUAGAUAUGAUCCUCUCCAGUAUUCCAUAUCGACAUAUAAUCUCCUUUUUCAGAAAUUUACUCAUUGCCGACUUUUUAACUCUAGCAUACGAAGUGACUUUUACCCAUUUGGUGAAGUAGUCGAUAACCACAAAGAUGAACCGAUGCCCAUUAGAAGCCUUCGGCGAUAUUGGUCCAAUCACAUCCAUGCCCCACAUAGAGAAAGGCCAUGGGGAAACCAUGACAUGCAGUGGUGAAUGAGACACAUGAAUUUUGUCUCCGUAGAUUUGGCACUUAUGGCAUCUCUUGGCGUAAUUGACACAGUCUCCCUCUAUAGUGGACCAAUAAUACCCGAAUCUCAUAAUUUUCCUGGCCAUCGUAAAGCCAUUAGCUUGUGUCCCACAGACGCCCUCAUGGACUUCUUCCAGGAUUUUCUUAGCCUCUACAACGUCUACACAUCUUAAUAGUACUUGAUCCUUUCUUCUUUUGUAUAGGAUCUCCCUAUCUAAGACAUAGUCAAUGACCAAUCUUCUCAACGUCCUUUUGUCAUUCUCGCUUGCCUGGUCCGGGUAUUCAUGAUUCUUCACGUAUUGCAAUAUAUCGUGAUACUAAGGGUGAUCAUCUUUCUCUUCAUCUUCUUCAAUAUUUUAACAGUGGGCCAAAAUUUCGUAAAUGCUCAUCCGGAUGGGUUUGACAUCUUCUUGUUUGUUCACUUUGAUCAUGGAAGCUAAGGUGGCCAAAGCGUCGGCCAUCUGAUUUUCAUCCCGUGGAAGGUAGCAGAAGGUAAUGUCAUCGAACUCUUUAAUCAAUUCAUGGACCAGCUUUUGAUAAUCGAUCAACUUGGGGUCUCUGGUCUCCCAUUCUCCCUUAAGUUGAUAAAUCACUAACGCAGAAUCCCCAUACACCUCUAGCACUUUAAUCUUGCGUUCUAUGGCCGCGCGGAUACCCAUGAUGCACGCUUCGUAUUUCGCCAUGUUAUUCGUACAAUAAAAAACCAAUCUACUAGUGAAUGGAUAAUGAUCUCCAUUUGGGGAUACUAAGAUUGCCCUGAUUCCAUUACCCACAGCAUUUGAUGCCCUAUCGAAGUUUAAUUUCGAGGGAAGUUCUCCCGAAUCACUUAGCGGUCGCAAUACACAUCAGGUCUUCAUUCGGGAAAUUGAAGUUCAAAAGCUCGUAGUCUUCCAAAGCUCUACUGGCCAGGAAAUCUUCUAUUGCACUCCAUUUUACUGUUUUCUGGUUCACAUAAACUAUGUCGAAUUCAGAGAGCAGAAUUUGCCAUCUAGCCAUCCUUCCAUUCAAAGCUGUUGACUCUAUCAUGUACUUUAAAGGGUCCAGUUUCAAGAUGAGCCAAGUAGUAUGAUACAACAUGUACUGCCUCAGCCUUCGGGUUGUCCAAAUUAGGGCACAACACAACUUUUCUAUCGGCGGGUACCUUGUAUCACAUUCCAAGAACUUUUUACUAAGAUAGUAAAUGCCUUUUUCUUUUCUUCCCGACUUGUCAUGCUGACCCAAUACGCAUCCUAUGGAAUUCUCAAAUACUGCCAAAUACAGUAUCAAUGGCUUAUCGGAGUUAGGUGGCAUCAGCACCGAAACGUUGGACAAGUACUGUUUGACCUUGUCGAAAGCUCUUUGGCAUUCUUCAUUCUAUUUACCUGGGUUAUGUUUCUUGAGGAGACAAAAGACAGGGUCACAUUUCUCGGUCAGUUGUGAAAUGACCGAGCAAUGUAAUUUAAUCUUCCUAAAAAGCCUCGAACCUCUUUCUAGGUACGCGGCGGAGAUAGCUCUUGUAUGGCUUUGACUUUGUCUGGAUCGAUCUCAAUCCUCUUUUCUCUAACCACGAAUUCGAAAAGCUUUCUAGACUUGGCUCCAAAGGUACAUUUAGCUGGGUUGGGUUUUAGCUGAAACUUUCUCAACCUCAAGAACAAUUUUCUCAGGACUUGUAUGUGCUCCUUCUCUGUUUGAGACUUUGCGAUCAUAUCAUCAACAUAAACCUCGAUAUCUUUAUGCAUCAUGUCGUGAAAUAGGGUUACCAUGGCUCUUUGAUAAGUUGCCCCUGCAUUCUUCAGUCCAAACGGCAUCACCUUGUAACAGAACGUCCCCCACAUGGUUACAAAUGUGGUCUUCUCCAUGUCUUCUGGAUGCAUCUUGAUCUGGUUAUAUCUAGAGAAACCAUCCAUAAAUGAAAACAGUGAGUGUCCUGCCGUGUUGUCCACUAGGGUGUCAAUAUGAGGCAAUGGGAAAUUUUCCUUUAGGCUGGCUUUGUUCAAAUCUCUGUAGUCCACACACAUUUGCACCUUUCCAUCUUUCUUAGGGGCUGGAACGAUGUUGGCUACCCAAUCUGAGUAUUUUACCAUCUUCAGGAAUCCAGCGUCAAACUGCUUUCGAACCUCUUCUUUUAUUUUUAGCAAGUCGUCGGGCUUCAUUUUUCGGAGUUUUUGCUGAACUGGCUUACAUUCUUCUUUUAUGGGGAGUCGGUACACUACGAUAUCAGUGUCCAAACCAGGCAUAUCUUGGUACGACCAUGCAAAGACAUCUUUUAAUUCUUGAAGUAAUUUGAUAAGGUCUCGCUUCGUCUCUAUGGUGAUACAAGUUUCGAUCUUUACCUCUUGUGCUUCUCCUAAGCUCACAAUUUAUACUGAUUCUUUGUGAGGUAGGAUUUGUUUCUCGUCUUGUUCUACUAUUCUCAACAAAUCAAGAGAUAGGUUACAGCCUUGGUCAUCCUCAAAAUCCUGAGAAUCCUCCAUACACACAUCUCACUCAAAAGGAAAUUCUGAGUCACUAGCAGUGUCAUUCGUAUCAUUGAUAUCUGGGGACCUGUUAAGAAGAUGAAGGCAGAUACAAAGAAUCAAAAGAAUUCAAAACAUUUAUCUGUAUGGUAUGAUUAUGAAUGACGAAUGAAAGAAUAUUUAGAAUGUUUAAAGAAUAAAAGAAUCCGAAAGUAAUCGUUUGUAUAAUAUGAAUGAAAUUGAAAGAAUGAGAGAACAUUUGUUCAAAAAUGAUAAUAAUCGUGCAUUUCAUUGAAAUAACGUUUUUAAACAUCAGCCUAUUUUACAAAAGAUUCUUAUUACUCCUAGGCCUAGAGCAAUAAGUGUGCUUUAGACAUUACUCUGAAUCAAUUCUAAAAACUACAGGAAUCUCUUCCGCAGUCCAGUUAUCCAGAACACUUCCAAGUGUGUAGGGGCAAAUGCCUGACAAAUUUUCUCCUCCAGCCUCUUCGUCGUAUGUGGUGUUGAUGUCUAAGCUUUUUAGCCUUUUUUCUAUGGCUCCUUUCACUGUCGUACCUCUCUCAUGAUGAAUGAUUCCUCCGGACACAAAGGUUUUCGAUAUGUGGAGGAAUAUCAUUGGUUCCCAUUUGAUUUCCUCCCCAAUUAACUGUGCUCUCCUUCUCUCUUGCUUCUUUUCCAGCUCUUUUCUCCUUUGUCUUGCAUCUGGCUUAAAUCCUAAGCCGAACUGGUCUCUCUUAUCCUUCAAUGCUGGCGUUUCAACCCUUCCUUGGAGAUGUCUCCCAAGUCCUCUUCUAGGUAGGGCCCCUUUUUCAACUGUCAACUGUAGGCUCAUCCUCGUGGUUUUGGACAAUUUUGGCACCAGAAUCUUGCUUCCCUCGGUGAUGAACAUCAUAUAACAAAUUUCAAAUAUCGAAAUGAGCAUUCAAUUGCUUUGUCAUCUGUCUCCAAAUAGGGCGCAUUAUUGCUCACAGUUGCAAUGAUAUCCUCUUCAGCAUUGAUCGUUGUCAACCGCCCCUCUGAUACCAGUUUCAACUUUUGAUGCAACGAUGAAGGCACCGCCCCAGCUGAAUGUAUCCAGGGCCUUCCCAAUAGGCAGUUGUAUGAGGGCUUGAUAUCCAUUACUAGGAAAUCCACCUCAUAUGUAUUUGGCCUGAUCUGAAGAGGUAUCUCGAUUCUGCCCAUCACCUUUCUCUCUGUGCCAUCGAAUGCCUUCACUAUAUUCUGGCACUCCUUCAUGUGAGAGCUGUCUAUGGGUAAUCUGUUUAGCAUGGUCAAUGGCAAGACGUUUAAAGCCGACCCAUUGUCAAUCAGUACGCCUGGCAGCGUAUACCCUUUGCAGCACGUGGUAAUGUGCAAGGCUUUAGUCGACCCCAUGCCACCAGGUGGUAUCUCAUCAUCAUUGAAAAAGAUAUAGUUGUCAGCACUUAUGUUGCUAACCAAAUGGUCUAGCUUGUUAACGGAGAUAUCGUUGGCAACAUAUGUCUCAUUCAAGACCUUUAUCAACGCGCUGCGAUAAACUUCCGAGCUUAGAAGUAAGGCCAGCACCGAGAUGCGAGCCGGUUGUUUACGUAGUUGUUCCACCACACUGUAUUCGCUAUGUUUUAGGAAUUUUAAAAACUCCUUGGCCUCCUCUUCGUUAACUGGCUCAUUAACAGAUUUAGUUGCUUUUUUCUUCAUUUCUUCGACCACUGGGGCUUUUCCUUUUGUGGGUUGUGCCUCCUCAUUUGCUGCAUCAUAACGUCUCCUGCUACGUGUAUAGGAGCCCCUAUCUUGACCCUCUUUUGAAGCAUCCACCAGGCUUUCCUUGCCCAGAAUCGUCACGUUACAAUUAUAAUUCCAUGGGACCUUUUUAUUGUCCUUGUAGGGGAAGACUGCAGGUCUUUGGAUUAUGACCCUCGGUGGCAUUUGUACUCCAGCUUCAUUAUUUUUAGGUCUCGAUAUGAUGACUAUGAGAUAGUUAACUGUUUGACUCUGUGCCGUCGAUUCUCCCCCCGAUGCACAUAUAUCUCCCUUUACGGGGUUUUUAACUUCUUCAUAAAACUCAAUUUCCUUAUUGUUCAUCAUCUUCUGUACUAAGGCUUUGAACUCCAUGCAAUCUUGGAUUUCAUGCACCACCUCGUCAUGAAACUCGUAGUAGUUCCUCUCUUCUUCAGAUUUUUCCCUCGAAUCCAACGCGAUCAAUCCUUUCUUGGUCAUCUCCUUCCAUACCCACCUCAAUGGGGUCUUAACUUUUCCAACCUCGUUUUUGAAUUUCUUGUUGCUACCUUCGCUUAUCCCAGUCACUCCUUGGUCGGUAUGAUUGGGGAGCGGAUUUCCUGCUACGUUGGGUACAACUGGGUCAUCAAAUCUCCCGAUCCCCAUCUUAAUGAGUCUUUCGACUAUUUUCUUGAACGCAGUGCAGUUUUCGAUAGAGUGCCCGAUGAUUCCCGCAUGGUAUUCACAUUGGGGGUUUGUGUCAUACCAUUUGGGAUACGGAGGCUGCAGUGGCUUCAGGUAGAAAGGGAACACUACAUGAGCGUUGAACAAGUUCUGGUACAACUCCCUAUACGCCAUGGGUAUAAGGGUGAAUUGUGGCCUUUCUGUGUUCUCCCCUGCGUUGGAUUCUUGUCUUACGAAGCUACAUCGAUUGGUGGUCACUGUCUUUUGCUGAUUUACGGUAAGUGACUUGGAUUGGCCUUUACCGAAUACGCUCGCGUUGUUUACUUCGUUAUCUCUUUUCGUCGGGGCUGACUUUCUGGUACUUUCUCCGGCUUCUAUCUUACCGCUCUUCACAGUAUUUUCGAUUAUUUCCCCCGUAAUUACUAUAUCAUAGAAGCUCUUGGUGGCGCUUCCCAACAUAUGAGUGAUAAAAGGGGCCUUCAAAGUGUUAAUAAAGAGCAUCGUCGUUUCUUUUUCUAGAAGUGGCGGCUGAACUUGUAUGGCCACCUCUCUCUAUCUUUAUGCGUACUAUCUGAAGCUUUCAUUUGAUUUCUUCUCCAUGUUCUAGAGAGUAAUUCUUUCGGGGGUCAUGUCCGUCACAUGAUUGUAUUGCUUCAUAAAGGCCUGAGCCAGGUCCUUCCACGAGUUAAUUUUAGAGCAGCUUAAUUGGUUGUACCACUUAGACGCCGCCCCGACCAGACUAUCUUGAAAGGAGUGGAUUAAUAGUUGGUCAUUGUUAACGUACCCCGUCAUUCACCUGCGGAACAUAGUGAUGUGAACUUCAGGGCAGCUUGUUUCAUUGUAUUUCUCGAAUUUGGGCAUUUUGAAUUUAGGGGGAAUGACUAAAUCUGGGACCAGACUCAGGUCCUUGGCAUCAAUCCCUUAAUGAUGAUCCGCGCUUUCCAUGGCUUUGAAUUUCUCCUCGAGCCAUCUACACCGUUCUUCCAAUUGUUUUUGCGAAUCCAUCCUCGCAUUUUCUUCGUCAGCAACUUCAUCCAAAUCGGGAACGGGCAGGUUGUUGACAAAAUUAGAGCCUGAGCCAGUUUGAAAGUUCAUCGGUAUUGAAGCUCUGGCCUAAACCUGCUGGGGCAUGAUCGUGACAGAUGGUUUUUGUAGAUUAAUCUCAGGCUUCAUCGGUACAUGUGUCAGAGUGAAGCUAGGGGGGUAUUGAGGAUCUUCAUUAGUCUCCUCGACUUUGUCCGUGGGGCUUUUUCCCUUAUCCGUUCCUCCCAACAGCAAUUAGGAUAACUGACUCAUCAUUUCUCUCUAGGAUUCCAUCAUUUGCUCAUUCAUCUCCCGCUGAAUCUUGGCUAGCUGUUCUUGCAUCUGAGACUGCAUUUGUUCCUGCAUGUCCUUUUACAUUUGCUCCAAUUUCUCAAGUCUCUUAUCCAUUGAUUUUUUCCUUGUACUGUAGGGGUGCGUGGUUGGUUGGUUUUUGUUGGUUUCCAGGUUACUGAAACAAUUUUUAAUUAAUUAAUUAGAAACCUCUUAUGGCCUUUAAUGCAUAAUGAUAUGAUGUAAUGCAAAUGCAUGAAUGCAAAGGGGGCAUCAAUUUUGAUUCAAUUCCCUUUAGAAAAGUUCACUUGAAAAUAAAAUCUUUUACAUAAAGUUGAGUUACAGAUAAAAUUUUACUCUAACACUCAAAGUCUUAAUUUUUCUAAGCAACGAGGCCAGCUCUUGUCCGCGAUCUGACUCCAACUCAUACUUCACGCUCAGUGUGUCCACCUGUACCGCUAAAGCUUGCAAGUAGUCAGCUACCUCCCGAAUCUGAGUUAUGGCCUCCCCCAUAACGUAAUCUCUGUUUCUGACUUGGUCUUGCACAUGGUGAAGCUGCUCUUUCCAACGAUCGUCGUUUGCCUCGAAAAACUGAAUCCUCAUCUCGCAGUUUUGCAGCGACGUCUCUAACUCUUCUAUUCUUCUUUUCAUUUCUUCUAUCUUGCUCAAGCUUGCCCUCAAUUCCAUUACGGUGUUGCGGUUUCGGUACUGAUGCAGAAACUUCUCGAGUUCUGCCACUCUAGCCCUUAAUUCACCUCGCUCAUUUCUGCUUUCCGACAGACUCUUCUCUAAAUCUUCUUUUCGUGCCUGAGCUUCUCGAAAUUUUCUUUCUCACGGUCGGCAUUGGCUUUUUCUUCUCGAAUUUCAUGGCGCCAUUGUUCCGAAGUCUUACCUAACCCCACAGUCCUCAUAGAUAGGCGCAGCUUCUUAUAGUCAGUCUUCAAGCUAUCUAGAUCUUCUUCGGCCUUAGUUUUCCUUUUUUCCACUUUUCAGCCUCUAACGUCUGGACAUCAGCGUUUAAUCUUACGUGCAUCUUUUCCUCCUCCAAUUGUUCGAUCUUCUUCCCAAGCUCCAAACUCUUCUUCUCGAAAUCUUGCCUUAUAAUCUCUAAUUCUGACGGGGUGACUUGUAAUUGUUCCCCCAUAGGUCGAGCAUUCUCCAAGCUUGGCCUAGGAACGUUAUCAUUAACCCUAUUCUUAAACCAUCCGUCAUACUCAGGCGUUACCAUGGAACCGACGCCCAACCUCUUCAUCCAACAAGUUUGCUUCUAAGCAUCCGAUAACUCCCGAACUUUCUUCUUAUAGUGAGCACCUUUAAAAGAGAAUUCAGUCUGAGCAAGCCCAUAAGUCGUGGGUACAAACUGCCUCGAUUUAUAUUAUCUCAGGGCUAGCAAUGGAGUAUACCUGGUAGCUCCCCAAAUUCUUAACAACGGCACCCAAUCAAAGUUACCGCAUCGGUACAUGAUCUCAUCAGGAACCAUCCAAUAAGCUCUCCACUCGAUAUCCCCCUCCUUGCGGUUUUGAAGAAUUUCCUUCCACCUCUCCUCCGAGAUAUCCUCUCUCCUUUUUAUAGCUGCCUCCUCUUUCAGCGGGAAGUAACCUUCAGAAAAGACCCGAUAAGAAACCUUGUCUACCUUCCAAAAGUGCCCAUGAAACCAUACUAUCAGUAAUUGUAUACAUCCAAUAAACUGCCCCUCGCCUUUCUUCCGACAUGAGCUCAAAGAUUUGAACGUUUUUGCCAAUAUCGCUGGUACCGGUGUAAUUCCCUUCUCAAGGCAUUCGAAUAAGUCAACGACUGUCUCAUCCACGUGUCUCAACAUCUUAGGGAAAAUUACCAAUCCGUAGAUGCUUAAGGCGAAGAUAUCGACCCUCUUUCUUUUAUCCGGAUGCGUCAAAAUCAAGUCUCACAAAUUUUCCCAAGGGAUACAUUUACUAUCUCCUUUUUGCUGAAUCCGAGCAGUGACCCAAGGCUCGCUCAUCCCAGAAAUGCUCAUCAAUUUUUUCACGAAAUUUUGACUACUAAAAACCCGGGCAUAAGUCUUCUAGACCUGAAUUUUUGGACACCUGAGUAGAGUAGUGUAUUCUUCCAUGGUAGGUACUAAAUCCACUUCUCCAAAAGUGAAACACUUGUAAGCUGAAUUCCAAAACUGAACUAUAACCCGGAAUAGAUGCUUGUCCACUCUAAUGUCUAGCAAGUAUGAUAUAUCACCAUAGCUUAGGUAAAACAACUGCUUGAUCCCUUUAUCCCAACUAGCCCAAAUGUCUCUCAACUCUUGCAACUCAUUCUAUGCUAUAUUGACGUGAGUGAAAUCCUGCAACUCGGAGAUAUAUCCUUCUGCCAAGCUAUCCCCUCUCUCUAAUUGUAGCUUCUUCGACCAAGCACGAACGAACGCAUUAUCCUCGACUUUACUAAGAAAUUCAUUCUCCAUGUCAAACUUUCUAACUUAGUAAUUGAAUACGGAUUAACACCUCAUUUAGUAUGCAAUGUCAUGCAAAAAAAGACAAUCAAAACAAAACACAGGUUAGUAUCAAAUAAUAACGAUAAAAUGCAAGCACAUAAAGAAUAAUUACAACGUAUAUACGGGUAAGUACUAAGGCUCGACGCAGCUCCACCCAAGGAUAGCUCUUAAGGUUCACUAUAUGUGGUUUAGUUCUAGAGAUAAGGUACCCGAACCAACAGAUUCCUCAAUCCUCACCCAUUAUAGGCUCAUUUAGAUCGAGUUCGGUUCGAGGGGAUACAUUUCCCUAUAACCAUGCGGAGAUGAAAAUCUCACGGAGUCAUAGGUACGGAUGUACCCUAGAAGCAAUCCACUAGCCCAUGCGGAGGUGAAAACCUCACGAAAGCGUAGUUUCUUACUCCCACUUAGAAGGUGUGACCGUUGUGGUCAUGCCAUGAAAUGUUGUAUUAUUCUACGAGACCCGAACCAUAACAACCAUACAAACAGAUGCAAUCGUGAUUUUCAAAACAAGUUUUCGAUUUUUGACAGAAAUACAACAAAUAAUCGAUUUUAUGGCUCAACUCUCAAGUCCCCAGUGGAGUCGCCAAGCUCUCGAAACCACCCUUUUUAUUUAAAAUUUUAAGGUUUAAUGAAAAAACGGACGAAGAUCGACUUUUGAAAAAUAGAAAUAUAGAGUCGCCACCGAUAUUUUUGUUUUGGUGUGAUCGGAUCACCUAAGAAUUUUGUUAUUUUAAUAAAACAUUUUGGUUUACUAAAACAACGAUUCUAGUCUACAGAAAAUAUGAGAAAGCGAGCUCGGGAUUCGGUUACGUAUGAGGAAGGAUUAGCACCCUCACUACGCCCAAAAUUGGUACCAAAUCGAUUAAAUACUAUCCUCAUGUCUAAAAUUAAAAAUGUUUUUGAAAUGUGGUUCUUUUUUUAUAACAUUUGAAUAACCUGAGUUGGUUACCAAAAAUCUUUUUGUUUUGACGUCCAAAAAUUUAUAAUUCGAAAAUUACAAAAGGAUACCCAACUAUUUGGUCCAACGAAAAAUCGAAAACCCAGCACAGUAGGGCAUGAUUCCUCGAAUAUCCAAACAUUGGACAUUGCCUCACCUUAGAAAAUACGAGUGAAAUUCCGAAGAGAUAUUAGAUUAUUUUGAACAAAUGGGAAAUUACAACCCAGCACGAUAGGGUACUAUUCCCCGAAUUGUCAAACAUCGACUAUUUCUUUCGUUUUAAAGGGUUUUUAGAAAACGUGAGUGAAAUUCCAAAGGGAUCUUCGAUCAUUUAGAACAAAUGAAAAAGCGCAACCCAGCACGAUAGGGCACGAUUCUCAAAUCGCUAAACCUCGAACAUCCUUUGUUUUGAAAGGUUUUUAAUAAACAUGAGUGAAAACCUAAAGGAAUAUUCGAUUGUUUUGAGCAAACGAGAAAUCACAACCCAGCACGAUAGGGCAUGAUUCCCGAAUUGUCAAACACCAAGUAUUGCCUUCGUUUUAAAGGAUUUUUAGAAGACCUGGGUAAAAUUUUGAAGGGAUAUUUGAUUAUUUUGAGCAAACGCGAAAUUGCAACCCAACACGUUAGGGCACGAUUCCGCGAAUCGCCAAAUAUCAAAUCUCGUCUUCGUUUUAAAGAGUUUUUGAAUGAAUGAUUAAAAAACUAACUUAAAACGUAUUAAUUCGAUUUGAAAUAAGAUGAAAUUGUUCAUAAAAAUUCAGAUUUUAUAAAACCACAUUUCAUAAACUAAAUGGAGAAUGAUGAUAUGGGAUAACGGAUAUAUGAGAUACGAUCAACUAACAAACUAAUAAUUAAAUACGGCUAACCUAAAAAAAUGUAAUCCGAUUACAAUAAUGCAUGGAGAAUAAUUGAUGUAAUGACAUACAAAAAUGUGCAAGCACGAAGUAGCAAAUAUACAUGAAAUAUCGUGCAUAUAAUUAACACAUGAGAUACCAAACGAUACGGAAUCAACGUGACAUAAAAACAAUAGACUAAAAAUGAUGGACUAACAAUCAAAUGAUAUAUGCUAGAGUUUGAAAUAAUUUAUAAAAGAAAAGUUGAGAACAUAUAUAUAUGUAAAGAAAAUUUAAUAAACGUUGCAAAAACGUUUGGAUCAAAUAAAAUACUAAAUAUUUAGCCAUAAAGCAUUUACUUAAGGUUGGUAAUAUCCCUACCAUGAGAAUAAUCUAUAUAAUAAUAAGAUGUGAAAGGAUAAUGGGUAUAAAGCAUGUAGCUACAUAGAUAUAUACAAGUAUGAGUAAAUUUUGAAGUAAUUUAUACAAAGAUAACAUGGAAUUAAAAUAUGAAUUAUAUAUAUGAAAAAAAUGAUUUUAUCAUAAAUUAUAUAUAUAUGUAUAUAAAUAAACUAGAAAUAAUUGCUUGUAAAAAAUGCUAUAGAAACGUACUCAAGAUUGAAUUAUUUUUAUUAUAAAUUAUGACGGACUUAAAAGCAUACUCUUGUAUAAAGAAGACUAUAUAUAAAAUGUAGGUUUAAUAAUGUAUGUAAAUCAAAAACAUAUACUAAUGUAAAUGAAUGUAAAAUAACUUAAAUUUUAUGUAAAACAUAUAUGCAAAGCAUAUUCGAAUAGCAAAAAUGUAUAUUAAAAUAUAUGGAUUUAAUAAUAUAUAGAUCAAAGGUAGGUAUCGAUAUAUAUAUACACUUGCAUAACGAUAAUUUAAAAGAUAUAUUAUAAGAAUUAUGUAAUAUAAUAUAAGAGUAUAUUUGAAGGAAAUUAUAUGUAUAUAAAAUAAUACAAUAUUAAUAAUAUGCAUGAAAUAAAACUAACUUUAUUAUAAAAUACAUGGGUUAGUAGUGUAUAGGUUAAAUGUGAGUGUUCACAAAUGUAUGCACAUAUAAUGAUAAUAGCUAAAAAAUAUUACAUAGGGUUGCAUAAUGUGCACAAAAUAAACUUGAAUUUUAUUAUAAAGCAUAUAUAUAUAAUAGUAAUAUAUACAAGGAUAUUUACGAAGCAUUGUGCAAAAUGUUAGUAAUAAUAUGACAUAAAAAAAGCAAACAAUACAAUAAUGAUCCAAGAAAAGAGAAAUAAAAUAAAAGCAUUAAACUAAUCUAAUAUAUAAAAUGUAAAAACAAAUAUAAAAGUGUCGAAUGUGCCUUUAAAACAAAAAUGAAUCACAAAAUGAAAAAUAAAAAUAAAGGGACCUAAUUAAAAUAGAAUUAAAAAUAAGAGAGACAAAUUAUAAACAAAAUCAACUAACAAGAUACAAAGGGGACCGGCGUGUAACAUGCACGAAUGUGCAGGGACUGAAUUUGGAAAUAGUCCAGACCCCAAAACGCAGUGCUGAAGCUUUGACCACGGUGCGAAUGCGCACAAAUUAGGGGGAAAUUUUAAAAGAAAAAGAAAUGCGAAAUGUGAGCUGAUUUGCACAUAGCACGAAAGGGGAGGGGCCUGUAUCGUAAAUUCCCCAUUUGAGGGACAGAGGUGCGGAUCCGAGUCUUGGGACGGGUCGACGCGCGGAGCCUUAAUGUCCCAAACGGCGCCGUUUUCAUAAACAGGUUAUUUGAAACCCUUUUUCUUUUUUCUUUCUCACCGAACGCAGCCCUCAUUUUAUCCCUGAUUUGCAGCCCUCAAAAGACGAUUUCUUAGGGUUCCUUCCAACGACCGCCGAUCCACCAUUUAAUUCGGUGGUCAGUGAUGCACGGGCCACGACCAGAUUUCCCCGACGACAGCACCAUGCGAGGAACCAGGUAUGCCAUCUUAUUUCUUUCGUUUUCUUAUUUUUUUUUAAAAAAAUCUAGAUCUAAUGCUGUUCUAAAAAAUGAAACCGAAUAUAAAAAAAACUUAAUAUCAUCUGACCCUCAUCUGUAUCUCAAUAUUUCUGAGAUAUUCGGGGUUUUAUUGGUGUCGUUCCAAACGUUUUUUUCUUUUAUACUAAAGUCAUAAGGGAAUGAGAAAAAAAAACAAACGGAUAAACAAACUUGAAGAUCACAUUUCUCUUUGGUUGCUUUGUAUUGCUUGUGUAUAUUUUCGUUCGUAAAAAAAUUUUCCCCUGAUUACAAGAUUAAAAUCUGGCUUUAUAGCCGAAAAGAAAGAGGAAAAUAAAUCAAAAUACAAUAUGUGUUUUUUUUUAUUUGUAUUUGCUACUGUGUUUGUCUAUUUCUUUUACAGGUACGGGUGUGUGGCGUGCGUACGAGGCUGUACUGGCGUACGAGGGCUGUUGACGUGGAGGCACGAGCGGCGUUGGGGCUAUACGGUGGCUGAUGGCUGCGGCGCGAAGAGAGAGAGCCCUAGGGUUCUAAAGUUGUAAUUUUUUUGGGCCUAUCGGGCCUGUAUUUGGGUCUUGGGUAUUUAAUCAUGUAACUUGGAC